UAGAGUUUGAUCCUGGCUCAGAGCGAACGCUGGCGGCAGGCCUAACACAUGCAAGUCGAGCGCGUGUAGCAAUACACGAGCGGCAGACGGGAGAGUAACACGUGGGAACGCGCCCUUCGGUUCGGAAUAACGCAGGGAAACUUGCGCUAAUACCGGAUACGCCCUUACGGGGAAAGAUUUAUCGCCGAAGGAACGGCCCGCGUCUGAUUAGCUAGUUGGUGAGGUAAUGGCUCACCAAGGCGACGAUCAGUAGCUGGUCUGAGAGGAUGACCAGCCUCACUGGGACUGAGACACGGCCCAGACUCCUACGGGAGGCAGCAGUGGGGAAUAUUGGACAAUGGGCGCAAGCCUGAUCCAGCCAUGCCGCGUGGAUGAUGAAGGCCCUAGGGUUGUAAAGUCCUUUUAACGGGGAAGAUAAUGACGGUACCCGUAGAAUAAGCCCCGGCUAACUUCGUGCCAGCAGCCCCGGUCAA
rnacentral:rRNA from 1 species